rnacentral:rRNA from 1 species
UACAGAGGGGGGCAAGCGUUAUUCGGAAUUAUUGGGCGUAAAGGGCGCGUAGGCGGCUUUGCAAGUGACGGGUGAAAUCCCUCGGCUUAACCGAGGAACUGCCUGUCAAACUGCAUGGCUUGAGACCGGGAGAGGUGAGUGGAAUUCCCAGUGUAGCGGUGAAAUGCGUAGAUAUUGGGAGGAACACCAGUGGCGAAGGCGGCUCACUGGACCGGUACUGACGCUGAGACGCGAAAGCGUGGGGAGCGAACAGG